UCAAACUUAAAGGAAUUGACGGGGGCCCGCACAAGCGGUGGAGCAUGUGGUUUAAUUCGAAGCAACGCGAAGAACCUUACCAGGUCUUGACAUCCUCUGACAACCCUAGAGAUAGGGCUUCUCCUUCGGGAGCAGAGUGACAGGUGGUGCAUGGUUGUCGUCAGCUCGUGUCGUGAGAUGUUGGGUUAAGUCCCGCAACGAGCGCAACCCUUGAUCUUAGUUGCCAUCAUUUAGUUGGGCACUCUAAGGUGACUGCCGGUGACAAACCGGAGGAAGGUGGGGAUGACGUCAAAUCAUCAUGCCCCUUAUGACCUGGGCUACACACGUGCUACAAUGGACGGUACAAAGAGCUGCAAGACCGCGAGGUGGAGCUAAUCUCAUAAAACCGUUCUCAGUUCGGAUUGUAGGCUGCAACUCGCCUACAUGAAGCUGGAAUCGCUAGUAAUCGCGGAUCAGCAGCCCGUCCGAAUGUG
rnacentral:rRNA from 1 species